UACGAGGGGUGCAAGCGUUGCUCGGAAUUAUUGGGCGUAAAGGGUAGGUAGGUGGUCUCAUUUGUCUGGGGUGAAAUCCUUGGGCUUAACUCAAGAAGUGCCCCAGAAACGGUGAGACUGGAGUCCUGGAGAGGGUCGUGGAAUUCCCGGUGUAGCGGUGAAAUGCGUAGAGAUCGGGAGGAACACCAGAGGCGAAGGCGGCGACCUGGACAGGUACUGACACUCAACUACGAAAGCGUGGGGAGCAAACAGG
rnacentral:rRNA from 1 species